GGCUUACAGCCUGGGUGAAAUUUAAAAAGAAGACAGGGUUGCUUGUGCUUCAGAAGAGUUCCAGUCUUUACCAUUGCCUACGCUUAUGUAUCUGUAGGCUUCCCGUGCAGAUGCUUUUGCUUCUUGGACUUGUUUAGGACUGCAGUGAGCUCCAGGCCUUCGACUUUUGACUGGUUCCUUCAGUGCACUACUGCACAGGUGGACACUGUGUACCUUUCCGCAGCUGAUUCAGGAGGCAGCCAUUAUGUAGACACUGAAGGCACCAGGAGAUUCAUUGAUUCAUCUAGAGCUGCACAGUGGCCGAGCUAGGGUUGGAACAAAACACCCUGGAUCCGGAGGCUUGUCUCUCAUGUACCAGCUACCGAGUAAGGUGAGCUGGUUCUCCAGAUGCUGUGCUGUCUCCAUUAGAAGCUCAUCUCGGUUGUCAAAAGAUGCCUCGGCCUGGCGCCGGAAAUUGGCCCAUCUCUGAAAGUCCUCUUCACUUAUGACCUACAGGACAGGAAGAAGCUCAUUAAUAACUGUGGACUUAAAGCUGUGCGCUUACCCAGGAUGACAAUGACUGGUGUCUACCAAGGGCCUCUAGCCAGGAUCUUGGCAGAAGUACAUCUGACUGUCAUUCAACCACUACGACGCUCUUCAGCAUGAGGAAGCCAGAUCGGUCAUCGCCCAUUACCCACUCAGAGCAGUUCGGGUUAUUUCUUCAGAGGGGAAUGUUACAGGCAGCUGAAUUAGCUACAAAUGUUAUAGGCAGUGAGACAGGGCUAGGUCCUCAAAGGAGCCAGUGCAGAAGCCCAGAAACUGUGCAGCUGUUGGGGAAACAGACACCUCCUGCUGUGGCCCAGGCCUCCCUCAAGAUAAAAGAUCAAGCAAAUUCAUCCAUAUCCUAAGAACUGGUAUUCUAAAUAGAUCUUUAUCACCCUGAGGAAGUCAGGUCUCACCAUCCCACUCCCCUAGAGAAGAGUUACUGCUCCAUAAGAAUGCCUACUUUUUACGUGACUCUGCCUUAGUUGUCCCCAAUGCAAUCAAUUUUACCUGAACAAUUAAUCUUAUUGGUUAACUGUAGUUUUAUCCCACCUUAAGCCCAUCUGCCUUGUGAGUUCCCAGUUUUUCCCACCUUUUACGCAUCUCACCCCAUGAUUUUACUCUGCAAAGGUCCCUAGAGAAGACAGAGUCCCUGGCAAUGUGCUUGGGACCCUCCUGUCCCUCUCUCAGACAGAAACUUUCUUUCUGUCAAUAAAUAUAUUCUAUUCUUAA